rnacentral:rRNA from 1 species
GAUGAACGCUGGCGGCGUGCCUAAUACAUGCAAGUCGAGCGAACAGACGAUAAGCUUGCUCCUCUGACGUUAGCGGCGGACGGGUGAGUAACACGUGCAUAACCUACCUAUAAUACUGGGAUAACUUCGGGAAACCGGAUCUAAUACCGGAUAAUAUAUUGAACCGCAUUGUUCAAUAGUGAAAGACGGCUUUGCUGUCACUUAUAGAUGGAUCCGCGCCGGAUUAGCUAGUUGGUAAGGUAACGGCUUACCAAGGCAACGAUGCGUAGCCGACCUGAGAGGGUGAUCGGCCACACUGGAACUGAGACACGGUCCAGACUCCUACGGGAGGCAGCAGUAGGGAAUAUUCGGCAAUGGGCGCAAGCCUGACGGAGCCACGCCGCGUGAGUGAUGAAGGUCUUCGGAUCGUAAAACUCUUUUAUUAGGGAAGAAAAGCUGCGUAAGAAAACCUGCACGUUUUGACGGUACCUAAUCAGUAAGCCACGGCUAACUACGUG